rnacentral:rRNA from 1 species
UACGGAGGGAGCUAGCGUUAUUCGGAAUUACUGGGCGUAAAGCGCACGUAGGCGGCUUUGUAAGUUAGAGGUGAAAGCCUGGAGCUCAACUCCAGAAUUGCCUUUAAGACUGCAUCGCUUGAAUCCAGGAGAGGUGAGUGGAAUUCCGAGUGUAGAGGUGAAAUUCGUAGAUAUUCGGAAGAACACCAGUGGCGAAAGGCGGCUCACUGGACUGGUAUUGACGCUGAGGUGCGAAACGUGGGGAGCAAACAGGGAUUAAGAAACCC